rnacentral:rRNA from 1 species
UACGUAGGGUGCGAGCGUUAAUCGGAAUUACUGGGCGUAAAGCGUGCGCAGGCGGCGCGUUAAGACAGGUGUGAAAGCCCCGAGCUUAACUUGGGAAUUGCGCUUGUGACUGGCGUGCUGGAGUGUGGCAGAGGGAGGUGGAAUUCCACGUGUAGCAGUGAAAUGCGUAGAGAUGUGGAGGAACACCGAUGGCGAAGGCAGCCUCCUGGGCCAAUACUGACGCUCAUGCACGAAAGCGUGGGGAGCAAACAGG